rnacentral:rRNA from 1 species
CCUACGGGUGGCAGCAGUCGAGAAUCAUUCACAAUGGGGGAAACCCUGAUGGUGCGACGCCGCGUGGGGGAAUGAAGGUCUUCGGAUUGUAAACCCCUGUCAUGAGGGAGCAAAUUAAAAAGAUAGUACCACAAGAGGAAGAGAAGGCAAACUCUGUGCCAGCAGCCGCGGUAAUACAGAGGUCUCAAGCGUUGUUCGGAAUCACUGGGCGUAAAGCGUGCGUAGGCUGUUUCGUAAGUCGUGUGUGAAAGGCGCGGGCUCAACCCGCGGGCGGCACAUGAUACUGCGAGACUAGAGUAAGGGAGGGGGAACCGGAAUUCUCGGUGUAGCAGUGAAAUGCGUAGAUAUCGGGAGGAACACUCGUGGCGAAGGCGGGUUCCUGGACAUUAACUGACGCUGAGGCACGAAGGCCAGGGGAGCGAAAGGGAUUAGAUACCCGGGUAGUC